rnacentral:rRNA from 1 species
UACGAAGGGGGGCUAGCGUUGCUCGGAAUUACUGGGCGUAAAGCGUGCGUAGGCGGUUCGUUAAGUGCGUCGUGAAAGCCCCGGGCUCAACCUGGGAAUGGCGAUGGAAACUGGCGGGCUGGAGUAUGGCAGAGGGGGGUGGAAUUCCGCGUGUAGCAGUGAAAUGCGUAGAGAUGCGGAGGAACACCGAUGGCGAAGGCAGCCCCCUGGGCCAAUAACUGACGCUCAGGCACGAAAGCGUGGGGAGCAAACAGG